rnacentral:lncRNA from 1 species
CCAACUUCAUCACCAAAGGAAGAGCUUUGCCCAUUCGAAUUAUCAAGAUCCGGCUACCAAAGUAAGAAAGAUUUUGAAUAACAAAGAGGAGAGCGGUCUACAAGAGUAAGCGAAUGGUUAAUUCACUCAAGUCUUUCUUGGAAGUGGAAAACCAAAAGAUGCUAUGCUGCCUACCCCUACCAAAGAACGGUGGGCGAGCAAGCGAAGCCCCAGGUUCAGAAAG